rnacentral:rRNA from 1 species
AGAGUUUGAUCAUGGCUCAGGACGAACGCUGGCGGCGUGCUUAACACAUGCAAGUGGAGCGACGAACCGGGCUUCGGCCCGGGGCAAAGCCGCGAACGGGUGAGUAACACGUGGGUAACCUGCCCCGAUGAUUGGGACAACCUCGGGAAACCGAGGCUAAUACCAAAUGUGCUUGUACCCCUCGAGGGGUGCAAGGAAAGGAAGCUUCGGCCUCCGCAUCGGGAUGGGCCCGCGGCGCAUUAGCUUGUUGGUGGGGUAACGGCCUACCAAGGCUUCGAUGCGUAGCUGGUCUGAGAGGACGAUCAGCCACACUGGGACUGAGACACGGCCCAGACUCCUACGGGAGGCAGCAGUGGGGAAUCUUGCGCAAUGCGCGAAAGCGUGACGCAGCAACGCCGCGUGGGGGAAGAAGGGCUUCGGGUUGUAAACCCCUUUCAGGAGGGACGAAGGUGCGGCGGCGAAUAGCUUGCCGUACUGACGGUACCUCCAGAAGAAGCCCCGGCUAACUACGUGCCAGCAGCGGCGGUAAUAC